rnacentral:lncRNA from 1 species
CGGCGGAGCAAGUGGAUGUCAUAGGUGGCAGAGGUUAGGUACGGCGCAACAGGAGGCUAGGGUUUUUGUUGAAGAAUUUAGGUUUUGGGCCAAUCGGGCCUUUAGGUUUUUUUUAUAUUUUGGGCUUGUUGUUUUUGUUUUAUUUUCUCUGGUGGGCCGGGCAAAUUUGGGCUUGUACAAAAGUAAUUCAAUAAAAAGGUAAAUUAAAAAGAAGAGAAAAAACAUUACAAAUCGUUUCUUUGGCUAAAGGUUAUUUCUUAAUUAGCAAGGUUCAAACUAAUCUCACUAUUUUUUUGAAGGUCGUACUAAUCUCACUAUUAAAAGUUAUAAAAAUAUUAUAUUAAAAUUUUAAAU